rnacentral:lncRNA from 1 species
AAAGAAAGAAGACACCAUUGAUGCUAAAAUACUAAACAUACAUCAGCCAAGAACACAGAAGACUACCUUGAAUCACCAAAAUAUAAUUAAAAUUUAAAGAAUUCUUAAUUUCAAUACCAUUUUUUUUUUCCUUUCAUUAACCUACUCACAAUUUCAAUCAUUUUUUUUUCUCAAUCCAUAAUUUGCACUUUCAUACUUUUCAAAAGUUUACAAACCACAAAAAUAUAAAACCAAAGAGAGAAACAAAAACAAACAAAACAGAAAGGAGAAGCUUCAAAAGGUCCACCUCCAAAUCUUGAUUCUUAGAUCAACCUUACACUCAGACUUAGCAGUAACAGCAACAGUUGGUGUCUUACCUUUUGGUAUAGACCCUUUGAUCCCAUCACAAGUAACUCUUAUCCCAACUUUCUUUGUCUUUAAUCCACCCACCUUCAUUUUCACCUUUGUAUCCAUCUCAAUCUUCAACAUUACCGAUCCAUUUUCACUUUUCUUUUUCUUCAGAUCCGAUCUCAAUGAAUUUACUGCAUCCACGUCAAGGUCAUUCGACCCUGAAACCACAACGUUUCUAAAACUUGUCUGGUUCUUUUUACUCAAGCUAAAAGCAGGUAAAGUACCAUUCCCAAGGAACACAUCAUUACCAUCAGAUAAUGCAGAAACAGUGAAGGGUUCAUAGUCUAGCGAGAUAUGUGAAUUGGGGUUCUUGGAAAUGAUUGUGAGGUUAAAGAGAGUGGAAAGAUGGGAACUGGAGGAGUCGGGAGAUGUGGUGAGGUUAAGGCGGUGGAUACGCAGGGAGGUGAUGGUAAAGGAAGGGCGGUGAGGGCGGUAAAGGAUGUAAAGAGCAGCACCGGCUAUGGCAGCGAGGAGGAGGAGCAAGAGGAUGGUGAGGAUUGUCCAGAAACAACAGCAGCAGCAGAUGUUUCGGCCACUACGGCUACGGUGGCGGCGAGUGUGAGGUUGUGGACGGUAAGGUAGGCGGGAAGUAGGGUUGUAGAGGUGGGAUUUGUUUGUGGUGGCAGGUGGUGGGUUGUUUGUGGUGGUUGUGGUGGGGUUCGUGGCGGUGCCAUUGGCUGCUGGUUUUGAAGAAGGAAAGACCUUGUCUGACAUUUUUCUUUUUCUUUUUCUUUUUUGGCCAAGCAAGAGUUGUGUGCGAAUUGUGAAGGGAGAGAACGAGGAGAGGGGAUGUAAAGGGAAGAGAGGAUAGGGACAAAGCACCAAGAAAGGGAAGGAUGCUUACAGCAGACCAAAGUUAGAAUCUUGGCAAGCAAAGCUUUUGUUCUUGAGAGGGGUAGCUGCAAUCUCUCUCUCUCACUCUAGUCUCUCUCUAGUCUCUAGUAUUUACUGACUUGACUAGAGAUUACUUGCAGUGUUUUCUCACCUUUAGGACAAGUUUCCAUUUUGUAAUCUUGAUGGGAGGGACAUCUAGCCAAGCAUGGUGUUCGGGUCUGGCUCGGUGCUUGACACGUGAUGGUGGGUGGGGUCUUGUUAUUUUUGCCGUCGUCGUGGUCCUAUACGGCUUGUGGUUUAAUUUUGCAGUUUGAACAUUUUUAUGGUAUGCCAAGAUGAUUUGUACUGUUGCCAUGUCUAAUCACUCACCUUAAAUUGACUUUCUGCCCUAAUUUUUUUCAUAAGCCUCGCUGGGAAAUAGCUGUAAUGAUAUGAUCUUUGGUUUGAAUCCAUGAUUUUGUGGUCUUUACUGAAGAGUAUUAUUCACAGAUCUGCAAUUAAGUUAGCCCAUCUAAUUCUAAUGAUAUUCACAACCUGCCUUAAUUUGCAAUCAAACAUAACCCUCCUCUAUCUGCUGUGAAUCUGUAAGUACGGGUGUUUUUCUCUGUUUUUUUUUUUUUCUAAGUAUAAUUACAGUUAUUUUCUACCAUCCAAAUCACAAGAAUUUCUCCUACCUAACACAUGAAUGUUUUUCAAUCCAUCAUGUUUCUUAAUAUGGAUGAUUUAUCUUGGAAAAAACUUAACCAUGGCCGCGUGAAAUGUAAUAUAUUCUUUUUCUUUUAGGAUUUGUUUGGCAGUGUGGUUGCGGUUGCUUUUCAAAUAGCUUUUCGUGCCAAAAUGCAUGACAAUGAUACGGAGAAGAAUCAAGUCAGUAGAGAUUUUUUGCAUUUAAUAUUUGGGCUUUUGCUUUGGUGUGCGUCCAGAUUUCUUUGCAAUUAUAAUAACAAUUGUUUUUUCAAAAUAUUUUUCAAUUAAAAAUACAUUAACAGAAAACUAAGCACUCAAGAACCAAGAGGCAAGAACAGCAGGAGUAGCAGUAGUGAGACCAAAGUUACUGAUGGAUGGAAGGCAACUGGAAAUGGUAGCUAGAGAUCUACCAAAUCCCUGCCCACGAAGGGCACUGAGAAACCACCGACGUCUCUCGAAAAUAGUAUCAAAAUCCUGGCAUUGCUUCAGGCUAGGCAAAAAUAACUUAAGAAUCCCAGACAGUCACCAGACACCAACUUAACUUAAAUCCCAAGUCAAUAAUUACCCCAUUGACUAUGCUGCUCUCGAGGUUCUACUUGCAAGGCCCUUUUGAUUAUUAGGUCAGUAUGAGUGUCUCAUAAUUAUAUAUAUAUAUAUAUAUAUAUAUAUAUAUAUAUAUAUAUAUAUAUUAUGAAGGAAGCUUUCAUGUUCUUAGCAGAAAAGCCUAAGACGAGUGACGAAUUAUGUACUUAGCCAGGGCCACCGACACUAGCGUGAAGCUGUGGGGUUCAAUCCUGUGAGAAUAAAGAGAAACAGUAACGAUGAGGACGAUGUGUCAAUGCCUCAGCCCUUCGCGGACUCGAGAUUUUCUUUUCUUUUCUUCUUACGAACGAACUAGUGCUUUCAACUUUAACAUUAACUUUUAAGACAAAAAAGAAAAAGAGGUGGUUAAUUCAAUCUUUCUUAAAAACAAUUUUGAAACUAUGUUUUUUUUUAUAGGUUGUUUUUAUAUCGGUUAAAUCAACUAGAUUAUAUUAAAUUAACUCUCAUUUAAUUUAAAAUUAUUUUCUAUUAAAUAGACACAUUAAUGAUUCUUUCUAAUUUUUUUAUAUUAAAAAUAAUUAAUCUGAAUUGGGUACAACGUGAACCAAUGAUGCAGGGCUUUUAUACUUGAGGGUCGAUUGAAAUAGCCUUCCAAACAAUACUAUUUAAAACAAUUAAAAUUAUUUUUUAUUAUUUUGAUGGGCUGAUAUCAAAAAUAAUUUUUUAAAAAAAUAAAAAAUAUAUUAUUUAGAUUUAUUUAUUCAAAAAUAUACUUUAAAAUACGAUAUUUAAAAGUUGUUGACCUCGUGGCGACCACAAGAAAGCCUUGGGAAAUGUUGAGCUUCAAAUCUCAUAAAUAUGAAGUGUUCGUAUUAAAUCUAUCUAAUCUAUGUGCAUGUAUAUUCUAUUAUAAUGUGUAUAAUAGUAAAGUAGAAGCAUUUCAAUUAAAAUAUGAAGGUGGUACUUAGGAAUCAAUUAACUAUUAAUUAAAAUAAUAGAGUGGCAUAUGACUUAUUUACUAGGUCGUGUCUAUUUUAAUUAAUGUGUAUAGUAAGUCCAGGUCGAUGAUUCGAGGAAGGAUACCUUUCAUUGAAUUCAUGGGUAAAAAAGUACAAACUCAAUUCCCAUAAUACAUUUGACGUUUUGUUUUUGUUUUUUCCCAAAAUCUAGCUAGUCGUAGAGUUUGGUUAGAAAAUAAAAGGAUGUAUAAUAAAAGAAAAUAUCAUUUCUAAGAUUCCAUCAAAAAUAAUAAAAAUAUUUUUACCUAUACUGAAAUACUCUCUCUCUUAUAUAUCUUUUUUGUUUUGUAUUUAUUUUAAUUUUAAACAUAGUUUUAAAAUCUGGUUUGACCUAACAGGUUUAUCCGGGAUCUGAUCGAUUCGGGAAUGAAUCAAGCUGGGUUAGAAAAAUAAAGGAAGGAAAAACUCUGGGUGACCCUGUCAGAAACACAGGUUGACCCGGUAACUUAAUAGAUUAUUUUUAAAAUAAAAACGAUGUUGUUUUGUUUUAUAAAAAAAGAGGAUCGAUCUAGAAUGAUACGGUCAAAAUCCGUGAUCCAUCAAACUAGAUUUAAAAACUAUGAAUUUAAAAACAAGAAUGAGCAGGUAAUAACAUUCUAGAAUUUCUUAAAUUGCAUGUGAUAGAGGAACGCUUUCAUUAACAGGGAAAGUGUUUAAAUUGUUUUUACUUUCAUUUAAAAAUAUUAAAUUAAUCUUUUUAAGUUGUUUUAAAAAUGUUAAUAUUUUUUUAUUAAAAUAAACAAACACUAUGAAAAUAACAAGUCGAGGACUGCUAUCUAUCUUUUACCUUCCCCUUGUGCAAACAUGUGGCUUGCGUUUUAAAUGAUGAAACUUGGUAUUUUUGAUGGAACACAUGGGUAUCAAUAAAUUAAAUUGCUGCGUAUCUCUAAGCUAAAAACUUCUUUUAAAAAAAAAAUCUUAUUAAAACCCAUAAAAAAAUGUUUUUUACUGCAAGAUGAUGUUGUUUCUUCCAUGGUUGUAAAUACUAAUUGGAAGAUCGGCAUGAUGUCUAGAAGAUCAAUCCGUAUUAAUUUAUUAAUUUAUUUUUGAAAAAAUUAAAAUGAUAUUAAUUUAUAUAUAAAAAAUUUCAAACAGUCAACAAUAUGAGGGUAUUAGUAAAUCAACCAAGUUUUUUAUUGAAUUAAUCAAGUUUUUUUCUUUUAUUUUUUCUUAUCCCGAAUAGUCUGUUUGGAAGUAUGGUUUCAGUUGUUUUUCAAAAUGUUUUUCGUGUCAAAAUACAUCAAAAUGAUGUUUUUUUAUUUUUAAAAAAUUAUUUUUGAAUCAGCACAUCAAUACGAUCCAAAACACAUAAAAAAUUAUUUUUUAACAAAAAAUUUUUUUUUUUAAAAAACGCGGGUACAACCGUGUUUCCAAAUGCCGACGAUCCUAGUGUAAUUUCUAUGGUGCAAUUUAUGAACUAGGACCUUUAAAAAUUUCACCCAAUUAAGAGAAAUUUAUGGUAUAUAAAACUAAGUAAAAGUAAUAUUCUUAUUAAUUAUAUCAUGAUCCCAUUAUUAUUAUGCCAUAUUAUCAUUCAACGUCAACAAUUCUGAGAAAAGUUCAAAAAUAUUCUCUUUCAUUCUUCCAUAUAAAUCUCAAUUCUCAAAACAAGAAGGUGGGCUGUGGUUUUUUUUUUUAGAACUGAGAUUUGCAGGAAAGAAAGAAACACAAAAUUGAAUUUUUUAAAAUUUGCUCAUAUGAAAUGAUGAUGUGGUAUAUUAAUAAUAGAAUCAAGAUGUAAUUAAUAUGAUAUUAUCCCAAUACAAAACGCACAUUCAAUGCAUGUUGGUUCUCCUAGAUUUGAAUUUUUUACAGCAGAAGAAUUCCGUCUUCUAUCUUUUCUUUUUUUAUUAUUAUUGCAGAAAAAUAAAGUUACGCUGUGCUAUUAUUCAUGGCCUUUGUGUACAUUAACAAAAUUUAAAUUAAUUCUAGCAACUAAUAUAGUUGAUUUUGGUGUUAAUUAGUUUCUUUUAAUAAAGAAAAUCUCACUUAAGUGUUUUUUUACCUUCAAAUCACCCAAAAAAUAGGUCUGGGUUAAGAAAAACUUUUUAGUUUUGAAUUGAUUACAGAUUUUUGUAUAAUGUUUUGGGUUUUUUGAGGUCGUGAAUGAGUUUAUCAAGACAACCAAGAUGUUUUCUAGAUAUUUUUGAUUAAAAAUUAGUUGAGAAUCGAAUUUUCUAGCCAAAAAAACAUCUAGGGCUUGAUUUUCCAACAAGCCAUGAUUGCCGAAAACUAAGCUACUAGAAGAUGCAUUGUCUACAAGUCAUCUGCCCUCAAGCGUUGGCAAAAAAAAAAAAAAAGAGGCUUGGCUCAUUGGCCAGGCUUUUUUCAUGGGCCUAGCGCGUGAGCCAGGCCUUUAUGUGUUAGGUGCGUGGAUACCUAGCCGGUUUUUAUUUUUAUUUUAAUGUAUUUUUAAUCCCUAAAAAUAAAAAAUAAAAAUACAUCAUUUUAUUAUUUGAUUGAUUUUUUUUUUACUUGAAAAGUAACCUCCGUCUGUUAUCAAACAAUUAUGGCUAUUUUUUGUUUCAAUCUCACCCACAAUCUUUUUAUUUUAAAUAUUGUUUGAUAUAAAAAAAAUCUCAUAUAGAUUUGACAGGUUAACAUGGUUAUUUGGAGUUUUUUUAAUUGUUUUUUAAAUUAAAUAUUUUUAAUUUUAAUUUUGUUCUUCAAUUUUUUUUAUUUGCUAUAUAAAAAGAUAUUAAAAAACUCUAUAUAUUUAUUUAUUUUUACUAAAAAAAAAUCUUAUCUAUGUUGAAUCGCGGAUUAAAUAGUUGGUUAAUAUCAAUUAAAAUGUAAGGGUAAAAAAAAAAAAAAAAAAAAAAAAAUGUAAGGGUAAACAAAAGUCAACAGUACGUCGGUAUGCUUCAAUUGUCAAUAGUCGCUAAAACCACAAUUUUACCUUCAAACCUUUAAUUACCCGUAAUCUAUAACAACAGUGAAUAUAUUUGAUGAUUUGGGUUAAAAAAUUGACAUUUAUUUAAAAGAGAUUUGAGACUGGUAGGUGAAAGUUUUACACAUGGUUAGGUUUAGAUUUAUGCGUUUAGUAAUAGAGUUUCGGGAAUAUUUGAAAAAUAAAGGGAUAAGAUAAAUUAGAUUAAUGCAUAUUAAUCUCUAAUAUAAUGCGUUUAAUUAUUUUUUAAUCCCUAUUAUAUGACAAAAUGUACUCAUGUAAUUCAAUUUUCAUCGUGUGAUAAAAUGUACAUAUAUAAUAUUGAUAUUUCUUGAAAAAAUUAUACUUUAGUUCUAUUCAUGGAGAAGAUUCAUUUAUACUGCAAUAUAUUUUUUGAAUUUCAAGGUUGGCCCUUAUUUAACUAUUUUCUUCUUCUUUUCAAGUAUUAUUUAGAUAAUAUUUAUGCUUUUCUUAUCUAGUUUAUUUUAUAAUUAAUGAAGUUUUUAUUGGCAAAUGUUUCCUAAAAAAAUUGAUUUUGUAUUUUUACAAUUAAUAUUAAACUUCAUUAUUUAACUAUUAAUGAAGUUUAAUAUUAAUAUUGAUUUUGUAUUUUUACAAUUGAUUAAAAAAAUAUGCAUGUUUCCUAAAGAAAAUGGAGAAAGGGUAUUGAGUGAGAAUAUUCGCAAUUGACCUAAAGGACUUAAGAUUAUAUCUUGAUCUAAGAAAUUUUCUAUAAUUUAUAUGAAGAAAAUUGGAUAUGCGACGGGUCACGUGACGGUAUAAGAAGGAGGAGGUAAUAGAGAAGAUAGACAGCAAUCAUCUUUACAGGCUCAUAUUCAUAAGAAUUGCCAGCCCAUGAAUCUGUGGAUUGUGGGCCAAGGCCCAACCAAGCUGUCAUAAUGUAAAUGCUCAUUCUUCCAUUACAGUGUUUACAUUAUGUUUAUGAAAUGUAUCACAGGUGUUCAAUAUAUAUUAAAAAAAAAAACAAAUUUGAUAAAAAAAAAAAACAUAAAAAAUCAUUAAUAAUAGGAAUGUUUACUCUUUCCGGUGACUAGCAUAUUUUUACCUAGCAGCAAGGGUUGAGUCUAGCGGUAAGAAGCUAGUUUUUCUUGUGAGAAGAACACUGUUCGGAUUCUCACCGGCAAUAAAACCCGUUUUAAGACAUCCACCGACGCCACAAAGACUUUUUGACUUAUGGUGGCACCAGAAUGGGUUUCAUGUCAGCAUCUGUGUGUGCUCUACACAGACUGGAUGCAUGUUUUAUCUGCAAAAGUAGUGCUGCAAUACGCAAUGAUGUGAAGUGUCAGCAUAUAGCCAUCCCUCGAUGAUGAGAGAAGAAGAGAUUCUGAAGAUAGCAAGCUCGGCACCAUUACCAGACUUGGCAUGAUUCUGAGAUUCUGAAGAUAGCAUUCAACAGAAGUUAUAUGAUUGUUAACUUCAAGAUUCAUGAGAUUAGUUAGAGUAUAUGGAAGCUUGUUCAGACAUUUAUAUUAAUUUUUAAAAAAAGAAGAUACACCUGCAAGAUUGAGGUCAAAUUGGAUCGAACUGCACAGGUGAUUUUGGUUCGUCUUCUCCAGGUUGGUACGCAGUGACAACAAGGCCGCAACCCCUCUAAGCAAAUGCACGUGAACAUGCAUGUUAGUAUAUGAUACAUGGCCACAGAAAAGUUCAGCCGAAAAGCAACAAAAUUACAUGUGAAAGCAUGAGCAUGUUUGUCUUGUAAGAACAGUCACAGUGUGUGCCAUCCAUGUGCCAUACAAUUCUUAAUCUUCCAAUCCCCAUUAUUGAUCAAUAUGCUUGAUUAGUUAUAAGUUCAUCAUUAGGUGACUAAAUAGUUUCUGUAGUCUGUAAUUUUUGUAGUUUCAAGUUUGAACAAAAGGUUCAUUUCUUUUAAAUUUUAGUGCCCGUAAGUUAGAAAAGAGAAACGAAGGAGAAGUCAAUAAAUUUAGGUUGAAGAGAGAAAAUCAUUUAUUUGCAUUGAUUUCAAGCACGAAAAUCAUAGAUCUUAAUGUCAAUGAAUUCUAGUUAAUUAUGAUAGUUUGAUGAUGGUUGUUUCAAAUCUUCACUACAAAAACAUAUCAGGGUUAAAAGAGAGAAAAAAUUUAUUAAGUGUUUUUAAGUCAGAAUUGGUUUUUAGGCAAAAAGAUCAAACCUAUAUUUUUGACAACCACGAUGAUGGUUAGAUUCUAGAAAACCAGACGACACAUUGUCUGCUUAUUUAUUUAAAUUUUUUUGAUAAAUGACCUGACCUACACGCACGGACUUGAGAUAGAAAGCCCACUCACAUGUGUUUUGUUUCAAAGGCCCAAGCGCGCUAAAUACCCAGGCUAGGCCCGUGCACAAGAUCUUUGUUUUUUUCUAUACACUGAUUUCUAUUGUUUUUAUUUUUCAAGUUUCUUAAUUUUUUAUUUUUUAUUAUUUUAUUGAAAAUUAAAUUUUAUUUUAGUGAUUCUAAGGACAUUUUGAUUAUAAAAAAAUGACAUACAAGAUAAAUGUGGAUAUAUGAGUACGAAAAAGUUUAAAACAUUUUUUUUUAAUUUUAUUUCAUUAGACAUUUGAAUUUCUAGACAAGAUUUAUUUUUGGUUUUCCUAUAAAAAAAGCCAUAACAAAAUAUACAACCUAAUAUAUGUGUACAACUAAAUUAAUAAUUAAAUGUAUAUUCAAAUUGUUAGAACAUAAUUAUUUUUAAAAAAUAAUGUUAAAAUGUAUUAAUAAAUAUAUUAACAACAUAAAAUAUGUACGAGCCAAAGUAAGGCAUCAUUUGAAUAUUUUUUAUACUAUGAUGGCUAAUUAAAUAGUUUCAAGGAAUUAUAAAAAAUAAAUUAUAAUUAACUCUUACAUUCAUAUUAAUAAUAAAAAAAACUUUGCCCCACUGCUAUUAAUUUCAUUAUGUUGCUACACGUGCACUUGACCGAACUUGUUUUGCCCAAUAUUGGGUUUUUGCUAAAAAAAAAUUAAAAUUUUAUUUUAAAUAAGUCUUUAUAUAUAUAUAUAUAUAUAUAUAUAUAUAUUAUUGAACUCAUUAAAGUCCAUCACUUCAUCACAAGAUUAAUCUCAAUAUUAAAAAAAAAAAAAUUACUUUCAAAAAAAUUACAGGUCAACAACGUAGGGCAUGAAAUAACUGGUUUAAGGCCUACAAAGAAUGAAGGCCACAUCGACCUUGUAUCUGAAUUAUGAGCUGUGCUUGAAAUGCAGCAAUGUGAGAACCUCUACUGUCCUUUUCUACAGCAACUGCCAUUAUGUUACCAGGGAAAAUGCUACUGGGUGGAGGAGUGCAGUUCAUGUCGAAGAACAAAAUCAAGUUGAUGUAAGGGGGCAUUGUUCGUGAUAUGAACUUUAUUUCUACUGCAUUCUGCCAGGAAAAUUGACGAUUAAAGGCUGGAAUGGAGGGGCGAUAGAAAUGUGUGAGAACUCGGAAUGAAGAUAUAUCUUGCACAUUGAAAAUAACAUCGGGGAAAAGAUUUCAUGUAGAUCGGUUUCUACAUUUUAAUGUUCUUCCUACACUGAUUGCUAAGGCACCUGUUGGCAGCAGCACCAGAAAUGAAAGUCUUCACUCCAUUUUCUUCAAGGACGCGGGCGCUCUUUCAAAUCACCUAAUCUGUUAUUAGCCAGGAACAUGUUAGUGCCUAUUUAGCCUUUUAUUAGCAAAAAGAUCUAAACAAAACAAAACAAAACAAAUGGACUGCAAACACAACAACUCGAGGCAGUUGAGAUCAUAUGUGAAGAGAGGACCAUCUACACAGAAUAAAGGGAGACAAGGCCAUUGCUAUGACAGAAAAAGAAGUAACAAUUACACAUGGCCAUACAAAAUGGUUUUAUAAAGCAAGACAAUAUUCGUGGCGCAAAAGUGCACCUCAGCCAUCUUUGAUAAUGCAAAAGAAAUGGCCUUGUGUACCACUAAUAAGACUCCUUUGCAAAUUCCACGUGACAGCAAGUUGACUUCAGCUUAUCUAAUUCAUUAAGUUGCAGAGUUUACAUACCUUUGACAUCUAAUGGUUCUGUGUAUGAGCAUAAUUGCGAACAAAACAGGAAUUGCUGCCGAGCACAAGUGCUCCAAGGAGUGACCGCUGAUAAAGUACCGAUUUGCAUUGUAUAUUUUCUUGUCAAGAGCAUCUUCAAACUUGGCUAAAAGGCAAACACCUGUAGCCCGAGGUGUUAAGAUUUAGAAAUAGAUGAGCAUGGAAUAAAAAAAAAAAGCUACCAGAACCCACAACUAUACGGAGUUCGUCCAAGUAUGCAUUAUUUAUUACAACUAAAAGGCAUUCAAGGAAAAAAUCGUCAAAAGAAAAAACAGGGGUGCAAGAAGCAGAAUACUAAACUGAAAAAAGGAAUAUACAAUUAAAUGUUUGCAGCUCUUUUACUAACAGUUUUGUUUAGAAGGGUGCAUAUCCAAAUACUCUUGCCUAUCCUAUCACUUCUCAUCAUAAACAAUAGAGAAAAAUCUUCAGGUAGCACUGAAUAUCUCAUUUAUCUUCCACAAAUAGCUUUUCUUAUUGAACAAGCAAAUUUUGCACAAGUGAUGUUUUUACAAAGGUCAAAACUAUUCAUAUGAGUGAGAGAUAACUACCCAUAAACCAUUAAAAAGAUGAAAUUCGAGCAUCAAGCAAAUAUCCAACAAAUCUAAUUUAAGCUUAAUUCAAUCAAACAGCAAACACCUAAAGCAGCUAAACUUGAGCCAAGUGAAUAUACCCUAUAUGUUAUAUUCAUAACUCUCAUUUAUAACAAGGCUAAUUACUACUGCAGAUCAAAUUGCAUUGCUUUUUGGCCUUUUCUUUUUCCUAAAUACACUCUAGGAUAUGAGAAGGAUAUUCUACAUGCAUUUGAAAAUAAUAUUAACCAAACACAUAGCAAUGUGAAAAUAAAAGGUCAACAUAAGAAGUUAAAAUGACAGUGAUUGACUACCAAAUUGUUUUCAACAGAAGUCACACAGAGAUGUACUAAGUAAACAUGCUAGGGAACGUAAUGAGAUAUUAGUUGAGAACAUGGCAUGGGAGGAUAAGUUCAUACAAUUUGUUCCGCCAUAACCAGAACUUUUUAUCAACACUUCAAACUUGAAGAUGUGGGCACAGGGAGAUAAAGAGAGAAGGAGAGAGCAAGUUUGAUUUCAUUUGAUAUAAAUCGUCCACAAUCUGGGUUGCAGUAUAUGUUGUUGUUGUUGUUGUUGUUUUAAUGUUGGUAAAAUUCAGUUUUAAAUUAUAUUAUUUGUUUAUUACUGAUCACAAAAAAACGUAUCUUUCAUUAUAUGAACAUCCCUUCAUCAAAAGUUCAGAUUUUCACAAUUCUCCAACUUAACAGUUCAUGAAUAUUCUUAUAGCUUCAUCGAAUUGUUCAGCUACCAAUCUCUCACUUCACUCAAUUUACAACAAAAUUAUGAAAUGGUGUUGUCUUUUGAAUCAAUACGGUGGCACAUAAAUGUGUUGCAUAGAUCCAUUGAGUAGCUCAAUUACCAAUAUUUCACUUCACUCUAUUUGUACAAGAAUCAUGAAAUAGAGGCAUUUUGUAAUGAAAUACACAGAUGCACCUUCAAUGUGUUGCAUUCUUUAAUAACUAAGAAUAACAAUUAAAAGAGAAUCAGAUAGAGCAUCAGAUACCUGCUGCCCAAAGCCAAUAUCUUGAAUGUGUGUAUUUGGGUGGGUAUAAAAAAGUCAUGGCCGGUAUAGCUACACAUGGAAUCAACUGGAACAUCAUGCACAAUCGAAGAUCAUUAAAUGUUCUGCAACCAACUAGCAAGUAGCAACUCAUAUUCAGCAGAAAGCUAUAGAUAUUCCUUGACAUAAGAGAUACAAUCAACUAAACAACUGGUUCAGCAUUGAAACCAGGAAGUAGAAACCAACCUUGCAUAAGCUGUGCUAAACAAAACAGCAAAUAGUAAUCCAAACAAGCAACUCAAUCCAGCCCUUUGCCCCACUCUCUCUGCCAUGAAACUAGAGAAAAGUGAAGAAUAUGCUAUCAUCAUCUGCAUUUAGCAAUGCACAUUAAGAAAUUGAUUAACAAAAACAUGUCGUGCAAGCAAAAAGAUGGUGGUGAUAAAAGAAAGAGCUGAUAAACACGCCAAGGCCCGACUAAUUCUGGGGUGCACAGGCCCUCGGCAAGGAGUUUCCGGCAAGUGCACCACGGGGCUGCUUUACCCAAGUCCGGUGGCGGUUAAAGAAAAGUGAUAUACGCUAAUUCACUUUCCUUUCAUACAUUUUUUACCACAAAAACAGAGAAAAAAAAAGGCAAGAAAACAAAGAGAAUUGUGAAGCAAAAUAGCAAUGCUAACCGGUAAGGUGUCCCACAUUACUCUACUGUCAUCAGGCUUGAGAUGAUAGUAAGCAGAACCAAAAGCCAAACCCACUAUUCCACCAUAAAAUAGUGCCCAGCCCCAAACCUCUCCUUUCAAACUGUAGCGACAAACCACAACAAUCUCAUAAUAAAAAAAAAAAAGCAAACUCAAAGAAAUCCCCCUCUCACACACACCAACAAUAGUUAAUACUAAAUUACCUUAUGUUAAAAAAGCAUCCUUGAAGAGAAAGCACAAACCCCACAACACCAACAAGCAAAAAAGGGAAAUUGGUGAUCACAUUCAAAGUAUUAGGCACUCCUGCACCCAAAAAAAACACAAUCGAACCCAGAUAGUAAAAUCAAGUAAAUGAUCAAAAGAGAUUAAAAAGAUACGAACUUUACAAAGAAAAAUCAAACAUACCAAGGAAAUUUCUCAUGUCAGCAAACUGGAGAGGUUUGUGAGAUAAAGUGAUUUUAGGAGUGACUACCAUGAAACAAAGCCAGCAUAAUAAUGCCCCUAACCAUAAGUGACAUCUCUUCCCUUUCCCUAUUUGCACCUGCUUAUUUACCACCCACACCAUCUUUUUCUCUAAAGUUCUCUCCCUUUUUUUAUUUCUUUCUCUUUCAAAAGAUACGUAUCUGUUUCAUAACAAUGUCUUUAGAUUUCUUUCAUUAACAACAUUCGGGGGAAUUGAGAUAAGAGUAUCAGCAGCAGCAGCAGACAAUAUGACAUUGUUUUUGACGUUUUUGCCUUAGAAUUUUAGACGGCUUGUAGUUUUUGACAACUACAGCUAUUUGUUCGGCUGUUGUUCGUACUUUAUCUACGGGAUAGCGACUCGUCGCUUGAAGUUAAUCAAUGAUUUUUUUAUUUUUUUUUUGUAUCAGUCCCAUUUUGAAGCUUGAUAGGCUUCUUUUAGAAAAUAGGCCCAGUAAUCAGCCCACGAAUAAGUCCAUAAAGAAAUAUGGUCCUUCACAAAAAGAAUGUGAUAUUUUUUUUUAUUAUUUUUUUUUUAACCCAGGGUGUUCGGGCCAGCUUGCAUAUACCAUGACUAAUUUCCGAACCCACUGAACACUCUACAAGCCCAGUAGACAGGUCAGACACCGCGGGGGUGACAGACGUGUACGCUGAGCUUGAACCCAGGAGGCAGAGGCAGGGAAACCCUGCCAGGACCACUGGACUACAAGCCUCGGUGCUUUUUUUUCUCAUUUUAAUGGUAAGGGUGUUGGAUUAUUUUUAUAAUUAAGGCUGAUAGCUAAAUUUAUUCUUGAAUAAAUUGGAGAAUUAAUUUAUUAUAUAACGUUAGAUUGAGUUAAUAAUGCUCAUAAUUGAAACUAUCAUUACUGUAUUAAUGAUGAAAAGUUUUAGUUUAUUUUACACUCAUGUCAAUUGUAUCUUUUAAUAUGUUGAUUAACUUGAUCUAAACAACACCUAGUUGAGUCAUAAGUUAAAAAAAAAUCCACGUGAAGUAAAUUAAAUUUGGUGUAAUUAUAUAUAAUAUAUGUUAUAUUGAUUUCUAUGGGAAAUUAGUAUAAAAAGCAUGAAUAAAAAUAUGAAAAAUGGCUUUCUUAUAUUCUUAAUUCAGCAAAUCUUGUUUUUAUAAAAUUAUUAAUUUUUUAAUAUAUCAUUUUGUUAGCCUUUCCCGUCCAAAUUAUUAUGACAAGUCAUGCUCAUGACUUGAUAUUAUACCAAAAACGACAACUCCGAUGGAAGAGAAGAGUGUCACCAAAGAAAAGAGGGGAAGGAGAGGAUAGCGGGGUUUCGAAGGUAGGAUCAGGUCUGGUCUCGUGUGAUUUUUUUAUUUUCUUUUACUUCUCACGUGCUUCAACAUGAACUAGUUUAUUCAUAUGUAUUAAGCAUAGUUUUUAGACUCGGUCUGAUGGCCGGCCCAAUUUAAAAUUUAGGUUUCGGGUUUUAACUGGAUCGUCCAUGUCAAUUUUUUUAAAUCAAAACAACGUUGUUUUAGUAAAAAAAACAAAAAUAAACUGGUUGCAACCAGGUUUUUGAUCGGGUUUUGCCGGGCCAACCCGCCGGGUCACACCGGCUUUUUCCCUUCCUUAUUUUUCUUCAACCCGGCCCGUUUCCAGUCUUGGGUCGACCCGUCGGGCCGGGCCAAGUUUCAAAACCAUGGUAUUAAGUAACGGCUUAAUAUUAAUUUUAAAAAAAUAUUAAAAAUAUAAAAGUAUUUGAACAAUGAAAAGUAAAAGCUUUUUAUUUGUGUAGAUGCAGAUAUAUUGUCCAACCAUAUUAAAAUUUAUGUUUUUUAUAAAAAAAAUUAUUAUAAUAUUUAUCAAUAAUUGCUACGGGUUUUUCAUGUAUUUGUCUCGACCCGUUAACCUACAAAUAUCCAUAGUUAAUACUAAGGUUUUGGCUGAAUUUUUCCAUGUUUCAUGACCAAACGUGACAAGUUUUAAUAGUUGGUAAAACCUACAUCCCCAUAUGCUAUGAUCCUCGAAUUUGUGAUGAUUUGAUAUAUUAGAAUAGUUAUAUUUACAAUAUGGUAUAUUUUAAUCUUAUAUCAUGAUCUUCUAGCACAGUAAAAGCACAGCAUGAGAGCUUUAUAAGUGGUGUCAUUUUAUAGUUAGGGCAAAUAUAGCCUAAAAUUUUUUUUUUAGUUUAACGUGGGUGUCCAAGUCAGCUUGCGCGUACCUCGACUAAUCCCACGGGCCUUGAAGUUAACGACCAUGUAAGUCUCCAGUGACCAUCAUAUAAGCAACCAUAGGGCUCGAACCUGAGACCACAGAGGAAACAAACCAAUAUAGCCUAAAGUUAUUGUAUCUCUAAGAUGACUUGUAGCAUAAUAAUAUUGAUUUGCUGCAUUAAACAAUAUGAUGUAGACGAUGCAUGUCGUCUCCAAAAGACGAACUGAUUAUGUCUUGGUUUUAAUCAUCAGCAACUUAUUUUAAUACAAUAAUAUUAUGAAUGAUUUAAUAAUCUUUAUACUAUAAUACAUUGAUAACAUACUUGUAAUCGUACCGGUGACUAGAUUAAAAAGUUUUGGUUUGUCUUUCAUCUUAAUUCAUUUGAUAAUUAUAUGAUUUUUAUACAUUAUUUAAUUUUGAACUUGAUACUUCAAUAUCUUAACAUUUAUUAUAAAUUUACAUAGUUAUCGGGUUAAUCUAAAUUAAUUAUUUUUAUUAAAAUGAUAUUAUUUUUGCUUUGCAAGUGGACUGUGAUCUAAUUGGGUUUAAGCUUAAAUAUUAUUAAUUUAAUUAUUGAAAUUUCAAUGAAGUCAUUAAAAUAUCAUUCUAAAUUACACUUCAAAUAAUCUUGAAUUCAUCGAAUCAACGCAGUUAAAUCAGUUUUUUUUAGCAAGAGUGUUGUCUGUCUUGGAUGUUUUGGCAACUUUCUAACAAGAUCCAAUGACUAUAAUGAGAGGAUUGUUUGUGGAGACAAGUUAGGCAUCUCCCCACCAUUUCAGACCACAAGCCACAUGCUCUUUGCCUGGUCUUGCUUCGGCUACAAUUUUAGAGCAUAUCCCUUUCCAGAUUAUCAACGGUGAAAUUAACACUGCGUAUUAGCACAUUCACACCCAAUUGAGCUUUUGAUUUUUUUUUUUAAUUAACAUGAAUGUCCGGACCAGUUUAUGCGUAGCUCAACUGAUUUUACAGACUCUAAAAUUAACGAUCAUGUAAGACUCCAGUAGCUUUGAAGGAAAAGAAAAUCAAACUUAUAAAUAUUAAAAAGCAAAAUCAAGAUCUGACCAAUCGCUAUCAUUUUUAUCUACUAAAAACAAAGCAAAUUUAGGCCCCCAUUACUCCAAAGAAUACUGGAUUCGAGGAUAUUGCCCCCUUAGCAAAGAAACAUUUCAGCCCCACGGCCAUCAUCAUCAAGGUUGGAAUCUAAGAAGACAUGGCAAGGCAAUGUGGCACCCCUUGCCUUGAUAUUUAUGACAUGCCGAUGCUCAAUUAUGGUGAAAUCUCACCUUCACCUCCUAAGAUUCUACACUCUAUUGAUGGUGGCAGUACCAUUCAAUCUCCAAGAUUCUCUGUCUUCAUCGUUUAUUUUUGCAUUUGGAAUUGUUUGUUAAUAAAUAUAUUUUGAUUUAAAAAUAUUAAAUUAAUAUUUUUUUAAUAGCUUUAAUGAACCAUAUCAAAAAUUAAAAAAAUUCAUUUCAAGAAAAAAUAUUUUAGAAAAAUCAUGAUAUCAAACAAACACAUUAUAAGUAUAUUAAAAAAUAUGGUUGAAGUUGUUUUUUAACAUAUUUUAAAAAAAUACAAUAAAAUAAUAUUUUUUUUAUUUUUCCACAUUUAUUUUUAACAUUAAUACAAUAAAAUAUCCAAAAAUAUAAAAAAAAUUAUUUAAAAUAAAAAAAUCAAAAUUUAUUGAAAUUCCAUGCAACCAAAGCCUCAGACAGGCUUACAACUACUUUACUGUUGAUGUACGUGUCAUUCGAUUAUAAGUGACAUGCACAUAGAUGUGGAUACCAUAGUACCAUGAUAAAAAUCUCCCAUGGGAAUUCACGACCAGACAGCAGUCAAGCACCUUCAUGCAAGGAUAAGCAAAAUGGGGACACAAAACUGCUUUGCCCAGACUGCCCACAGCUUUACUGUUGAUAUCAACGAAAUAUCUUUGGGCAAAUAGGUCAAAAUACAAUAAAGGCACAAGCUCCCUGCUACAGUGCCACCGCAACUGGGGCUCCGAACUUUCUAAUCGGCGUUUUAAAAAAUUAAUUUUUUAUAUUUUAAAAAAUAAAAAACAACAAUUAAUAUAUUCUUGAUAAAAAGCACAACCUCCUGCCACAGUGCCACCGCAACCAGGGCUUCGAUCUUCCGCAAAUGGGCUCCAAUCAUUGAUCAUUUUGAAAUUGCAUAAUGCAAAGUUGCAAACAGUGUUUUAAAAAAAUUAAUUGUUUUUAUUUAAAUUAUUUUUAAUAUUAAAAAAAGUAUUAAUUUAAUAUAUUUAAAAAAAAAAAUCAGCGUAACCACUCCUUUUACCUUUCCCAGCCUGGCAACCUUCUUUCCCUGACUGGAAACAAAACCUUGAAAAGCAAAAUUUAAAACAUGGCCAGUACCCAGGAAUCAAUCAAGAUGGUAGGUACCAAAUUGCCCACCAUAUAUAUAUAUAUUAUUAGAUGAAAAUCAAUGGGAUUUCAGUAGCAACACCAUUCACAAUUACCAUGUAGUACUUGAAUGCAUGAAAUUAAGAAGUAUUGGACCAUAUUGUGGAUAUAGAGGUCAAGAAACAGAAAUACUGAUUAAUUAAGCAAGUAAAUUUCAAGUGGAGGAGAUCUACACCCAAUGAAGUUCUUAAUUUCCAACGAAGCUCCCAGAAAAGAAAAAAUUAAAAACAGCCCCGGGAAAAAAACCAAAUUUACUUUCAACUCCCUCCGUUAAUCGUGUCUUUGUACCUUAUAAUAGAAUCCACCCUCUGCAACUUCAGCUGCUGCUUAAACUUGUAUAUAAAAUCAUCAGCUUUAGCAUCCACUUCAGUGUCACCAACCUCGGUGGUGGUCUUCCCUUCUCUCACAGUAGCUGGCCUGCGAGAUUCAACGAUGUCCUCCUCUUCAAAAUGAGAAAAGGCAGAUUUUGCGCUUGCAGAUUUCCUCAUUUUCUUUGGUAGCUUUUUGGGUACUUCACCGGAAGUUGGUUUUGUAUCUGAAAUGGAUUUGCUCAGUUUACCUCCCUGUAACUUGCUGUAUAUCUCUUCAAAAGUCUCUUCUUGGUCUUGGAUUUGCUCGUUUUCUUCGUCUUGAAAUCUAUCCUCCUCUUCUUCUUCUCGGAGCCGUUCAUCAUGUUCUUGUAUUUGGCUAUAAAUUUGUUGAGAAGUGAAAUGGGUUGGCGUGCUUUCUUGGUUUUCGUGGGUUUUAGUACUGGUGGGAUUAAAUGAUUCUUGAGAUAAGUAACUAUAAAGGUUGAUGGACUUGAUUUUUUGCAACAUCGAAGGAGAACUAGAAAUAGUUGGCUGGUUUUGGUUUUGGUUUUGGUGGUAUUGAUAAUCUUGUUGAGAGGUCUGUUGAUGAAAAGUGAAACGUUGGUCAGAGUCUUGAGGAUUUUCGAAAGUCACGGUUGUAGGUUCUUGGGAUCUAUAGCUAUAUAAGCUGAUAGAUUUGAGUCUUUGUAGUACAGAAGGAGAUCUAGUAAGCUGGUAACCAUGACCAUACUGUGCUUGAACAUGUUUUUCUUGUUCUUGACGUUGGUCACCAGGUUUCUGGGUGGCUAGUCUUGAAGAUACAAAAAUGGUGCCAAUCAUUAGAUUGAGAAGAACAAAGAAAACAGCUGGGGUUAACCAACUAUUCAUAGAAGUCCAGAUUGAUAUGGAUUCUUCAAGCAUGAUUUUUGGCUGGGAUUGACGCAAACUUAGAGAGAAAUGAAGAUGGUGUUUGUUGAUUGUAGAAGAGAAACAAAGAAUGGGAGGACGAGUAAUGCUUGAGCACAAAUAUAAUGGAUACACUAGAAUUUUGUCUUCUUAUAUUUUGGAGGCUUAAGAAAAAAAAUGAUUUUUUUAAUUUUAUAGAAUCUCGAGGGACACGCUUCAGGAUGUGGAUGUGAGGCUGUAGUUGUUUGAAGGGCAAGUGAGGGGGACAGGCAAAAAUCAAAGACCAAAGAGCGAAAACCUGCAGCUGGAUUUAUAUGCCGACGCUGCGUUUGUUUUUUUUAUAUAAAAAAAAGAAUGUAUUAUUUUGAUAUUUUUUUAAAUAAUUUUAAAUAUGAAGUUAUAUUUUAUGCCAGUUUGGUAUGCGAUUUUAAUUGUAAUUUUAAAUGUAUUAAGUUAGUUAAUAUAUAUUAUAAUUUUACAUGUAUCUUAAUAAAAAAACAAAACUUUAAUUAAAAAAAUCUGCAGUUCAUAACUUUUUAAAAUUUUAUUUUUUGUAUAUAUAAUAGCAAAUAUAUACUUCAUGAUCUAUUAAUUUCAAGAAAAAUUAGUAAAUUACAAAAGAAACUCUUAUAAAAUUUAGAGAAAAGUCCUUGCUUGCUGUAAGAAGAAAACGAUGCAAUCCUGAUGAUGUCGUUGGGAAAAACAUAAUUAUCUAAAUGAAGUCACCCUGACCUCAAUUCGUGCCAGCAAGCUGUCAUCUUUAAUUGUAGUGAUUUUAUUUUUAUGGUGCGGAGAAGGUAAACAUUUUUAAUUUAAUUCAACUAUUUACUUUUUAGGUUCAUUUUGAAAAAUAUAUAUAGAUAUAAAAAACAUAAAUUUUCGAUAUAAGUAUUUUUAUUAUUUUUUAAGGGUUAUAAUUUUUUUUUUCUCUCCUCUUUCUUUAAAAUAAACUAAAACAAUAACUAGUGUUAGGUCACUAGAUGCUUCAAAUACACUAUAAUUUUUUUCUUAAAAGGCUUUCUUAAAAGGCACGCAUCUAUGUUAGUGCCAUCAACUUUAGUCCAAGAAAGAAGAACUAAGGUGUAAUUUGGUUAACAGAAAAGAUAAAGAAGACAGAAAACAACAAAAAGAUGAAUAUAAAAUUGUAUUGGUCAGUGGUGUAUAACACAAAAUAAUUAUUUUUAUAUUUUGUUUGAUUGGUGAUAUAUAAAACAAAAUAUAAUAUAAAAAAUUAUAUUUAAUAUGAAUUACCUCCAAACUUAUAUAUUUUAAAAAAUAAUUAAAUGUUAUUUUUUAACUUUAAUUUACAAUAGGUAUUGAAAUUAAUAACAAUAUAAUAACCAUGUAUCUAAAACAUGGAUCGGCUUGGCGGGUUGCCCCGAGACCCAAACAACUCAGUACCUAAACCCGUCCAAAUUAAAAAAAAAAAACCCAGAGAGAUGAUUGAACUAGUUUGGUUCGAUCAAAAACACUGGUUGUUCCCACGAUCCGGUCAACCAGGGGUACAACCCGAGUAGAAAAACUGUUUGAUUUGUUUUUUUUUAAAUGGUCAAAAUAGUGUUGUUUUUAUCUCUUUUUCAACCAGAAACAAUAAUAUGGUUGACCUUUCGACCCAUGACCUAACCUAACCCUCAAGUCAGUUUUGAAAACAUGAUAAUGAUACCUUUUUAUCAUUACAUGUCUUAGUUUGACCAGUUUGAAAUUAAAAGUUUUUUUAUAAUUAUAAUUUAUACAUAAAAAAUAAUAAUUGUUGUCUACGAAGACAUGUCAUGUUUGUACAUUCUAUUUUGUAAGUACAAUAAAACAUUUCAAAAUUAUUCUAGGAAUACAUUUAUUUUUAUGUAUUUGUCCCUAUCUUUUCAUUCGAAUACAUUUUUAUUUUUGUUGUCUUGGUAUCUACUAACAAGAUUGAAAAAAAAAAAAAACUAGAAGUGAGGGGAAAAUUACUGCAAUUCAAGACUCAAAUUAGUAUUUAUUAGAAUAGCGAUUUGACAAUAUCACUGCUCACUAAAAAAGCCUUUCAACUAGACAUUAGGGGCAAUGUGGUCUUUUCACCGUGACAUAACAGUCCUUUACAAAUUGUACGGGGUUAGAUUGGUUAUUUUGUUUUUUUUUGCCCUGUAAAAAUAAAAAUUUAAUCCCAUAAAAAAAUAUAAUGCAUGUUACUUAGGGACGUUCUGUUUUUUUUAUAUAAAAAAUAAAAUAGUGUAAUUAUGUUGAUGCUCUUAAAGAUUAAAUCAAUUUAACUCUAUUAUAAUGGUUUUUUUUGUUAUUUUACAUUAGUUUUAUUGUGGAUUUGAAGGUUGCUCACAAGUUUUUGUUUUUUAGAUAUAUUAAAUAUAUUUUAAAAAAACUUAUUAACGUGAGUGUAUGAGGUUGUUUGGUAACUAAACACCGCCUUCUAGGAUGAUAUUUAAAAUAUUUCAACGCCCCGAUCCAACGAGGCAACGCAUUUUCCACGACUUACCAUGGUUUGGCACCACAACCAUGCUUGAACAAGUUUUUAAAAUUGAUAUUUUUAAAUUGGUUUAUAAUCAACUUCUUUUUCUAUUUUAUCCAAUUUAUUUUAUUUUAUUUUCAAAAUUAUUUCUCAUUUUUUUUCAUUGUUUUUUCUUUAAUUUAGGAUGAAUUUUUUAAACUAUUUUUAUUUUUUGGUUUUAUUAGGAUUUUUCAUUGAUUUUAAAAAUAACCCGGGUUUUCUUGAAUUUUUUUAAUUGUUGCUAUUUGUUGGGUUUAUUUUGGAUUUUUCAUUGAGAUUCUUGAUUUAAUUAUAGUUUAGGAUUUAAUGAAUUGCGAGUUUGAGAUAUUUGCUUAGAUUUAAAAGGUUUGCCUGUUUUUUAAUGUCUUUAUUUUUUUACAGUUUUAUUAUUUAACAUUUUACAUCAUUAAUGAUUGGGCUAUGAUUUUUUUCUUCUUAGUUUUCAGUUUACUUGUGUUAUAUAUGAUCUUUUUAACUGAGUAUUUUUGGUGUUUUCCUUUUUUUUUUGGUUUGUCUAUGUAUCGAUUUUUUUCUCUAGUCAUGUUUAUGCCCCGAGUCACAUUAAAAAAAAAUUAAAACAUGUUUGCAUUAUAAAAUUACAAAAUAUUUUUCAAUUUCAGCAUCUUUUAUUUUUUUUCAUCUUUUAAAUUUAGUCUCAUUAUUUUUUUAUUGCUAUUUGUUUUGACUAUGAUCACUUUUUAGAUUUUUUUAUAUAUAAUUUCACUCUCCAUAAGUUUGUUUUCCUAUCAUAUAUAUUUUUAUUGCUAUCUUUUUGUUUUACAAGUUUAUAAAAUUGAUAUGUUUUUUCAUGAUUUUAUCAUUUAAGAUUAAAUUAGUUGAGAAUUAAGCUUUUUUAUUUAACCUAGAUCCAAGAAUUUAUGAGUUGUCAGUUUUAAAAAUUAGAUCAAGUUCAAGAGAUUUGCUUAGUUUUUUUCCCCUUUUUUAAAGUUGUUUUUUUUAGACUUUUGCUUUGUUUUUUUUUUUGCUAUGACUUCUAUAGUGUUGAUCUCGGAUUUAUGAUCCACCACUUUCAAAUGUUAACGCAAGUUAGUUUUUUUUUAUCAUUAUUAAAUUUAUUUAUUUUAAUUUUAUCAUUUAUCAAUUGAUUUAUUGAAGAUUGAUCUUUGUGUUUUUUUCCUUUUCCUUUCAUUUGGUUCUUUUUUUUUCUACAAGAUUAUUCCAAUCUUAUAUCCAUUGCUAUGAAGUUUCUGAAUUAACCUAUAUUGACCGAGUUUUUUUUUAUAUAUAUAUAUAUAGAUAUAAUUUUUUUAUUUAAUAUUAUAUUUUUAUAUCCUGAAUUGACUUGUGCUGAUUUUUUUUUGUUGUUAUAUAUUUUUUAUUUGAAUUACCAACUGCUUGGGUGGAUCUGGUUUUGGAAUUAUUUUUUUAAUAUUUUUUCUAUGUUGAAAAGAAAGUUUACCGUCCUGUGAUAAAACGCGGGCAAUCCUGCCUAUAAGAGCACGGCUGUCAAAGACGCACUCUCAGUUCUUGUUUUUAAAAAAUCUGGCUUGGUCCACUAAUUACGCUCCUAUCAUUAAACACUGUUCAUAAAUAUCGCCGAGUGAAUAGUUAAAUGUAAUCCAAUUAACACUAAAAGUCAAUUAUUUACUUCCUUAAUGGAUAAUGACUUAUCUUCUUCGUUUGCUAAACAAAGAGCUGUGAACCACACCAUCUGCCAGCUAUUCCGUAAUCUUCAUCACGAGCCUGAUGAAAAAAUAUUUUUUAAAUAGUAAUUAUUUUUUAUUUAAAUUAUUUUUUUAAUAUAUUAAUAUCAAAACAAUUUCAAAAAGAAUAUAUCAUUCUAACAUAUUUUCACACGUUACUAUGACACCAUCACCGUUAUCAAACCUAGUAGUACACGGUAAUACAUUUAACCUUUUCCCGACCAAUCAAAUCGUGUGUUAACUUUACUGUCUUGUACGAUGAUUACAAGAAAGUAAAUUAAUAAUUACACUAGUAGUACACUAACUUUGUAAUUUUCCUCAAUCGAGUACAUGGAUUUCAAUGUUUUUUUGUUCGAGUACACCAACUCCCUCAAAGCUUACAAUCAAGUCCGUCCAUCUACUUUUUGUUUGUUGAUUGCUCCAUUAUCUAAUGACGUGUCCUUUAACCUUAAUCCAUUAGAGUUACGCUAAUUUUCGUUUUAUCUCAAUCUACUGCAUCGAAAGCCUUUUUUUAUUUCGGUACACAGACUUUUUUUUUAUUGUGUCACUAAAGUAAUUUUUUUGAAUUUGUUUUUUAAAUUAAUUUUUUUAGUGUUUUAAUUUUUUUUAACGUGAUAAUAUCAAAAAUAAUUUUGAAAAAAAUAAAAAAAAUAUAUUUUAAUAUGUUUUUAAGUUAAAAAACUUUAAAAAAUAACCCGAGCACUAUUUCAAACUUCCCUUGAUUGGGCAACAUUUAACGGCUGAGGAUAUACCUCCAUGAGCACCACACCCUUAUGUGUCCCACCAGCAAAUAAACAAGGCACAAUAAUUAAUAGGGCCUGUAAAGGGCAUAGUGUUCCCAAGAUGCGAUUGCCUGUCUUUUUUCAAAGUAAGCACAGUAAAAAACAAAAUUAACACCGUUAUAAUUGAGAAAUAGCAUUGCUUAGCGAGGAGUCUAUGGUAUCUACGAGCCGUGUGUGUUGCAAACGGCUUUUUAAACGAGUUAUUGUAAAGAGAAAAAAAUGAAAGAAUUUUUUUUUUUAAAUCACAUCAAAAUUCAUAAUGAUACAUUGAUGCUAUUAAAAGUAUCUUAACAAAAUAAAUAUAAAAUAUAAAAAAAAUCAUCAAUAAUAACCAUAGUAAACCACACGAGUUUCCAAAUCUUUGUAUAAUAAGUGUGACUCACUUCGUUCAUUAUUGAUAACCGUUUUUGAUGUUGUUUGAUUCAUCUUGUCAAUAUCUUUUUUAUAGUGUUAAUAAUGUUGCAAUUGGAAUUUUAAUAUGUCUUCGACAUCUUUUUUUUAUGUUUUUUCUUUUCUCCUCGUUAUAAUUUAUAUAAGCUCGUUUAAUAAUUUAAGUUAGUGAGUGCAUGUGUCACAUGACUUGUAAAUUGUAAGUGCCACUUAUAAUUUGUUAAACUAUAUUAUUUUUUAAAUUAAGUUUUGAAAUGUGUUAUUUCUUUUCUUUUUUUGUUUGCUAUUUUGGAAAGAAAAAAACUAAACAUGCCAUCGGCAAAGAAAUUUGGAUACCUUUUUUUAUAACGUAUAGCGUAGUUUGGGGAACUACUGGGCUCGUUUGGCAAUGUGGUUAAAGUUACUUUUCAAAUAACUUUUCGUGCCAAAAUACAUGUCAAUGAUGUUUUUUUAUUUUUUAAAAAUUAUUUUUGACAUCAGCACAUCAAAAUGAUUUGAAAACACUAAAAACAUAUUAAUUUGAAGUUAAUAAAAAAAAAAUUCAAAUUUUUUCAAAAUCGCUUUUGAAACGCAGAAAUAAACAGUUUUGACUUAGAAAUACUUUAAAAUAUUUUUUACUUAGAAAUACAUUAAAAUAACAUUUUUUUAUUUUUUUAAAAUUAUUUUUAAAAUUCAGCAUAUUAAAAUAACUGAAAAUAUAAAAAACAAAAAAUAAAAUUGAAUUUUGAGGGCCGUAUUCCCGAUCACGGCCUAGUAUGAGCUUUUAUCCAAGUUGUUGUAAUGUGCAGUUCCUUUCCAGACUCGUUAACUGGAUCUUGUUCUUCUAUCUACUUGGAAGGACCUCGAACAUGUCUAUUUACAUUAGGUAAUGACUCUGGUUUGUGCCUAAGUCAUCCACUCAGGUUAGACAAUUGGAAUCUGACUUGUUAGUUCUGACAGAGAGUCUAUCAUUAUUCACAUCACAUAAUCAUAUCUUUACAGACUCCACUCAUGAAAUUCUUACACGCAAUUGCGCUUUGUAAGUAAUAUUCUUCCCUUUGCCUGCGCUACGUCGUGGGUCUAAUAUAUACCAUGAAUCUACAUAUUUUUUUAUAUAUAAAAAUUGAUAUUUAGAUGCCGUGAGCGUGUCAAUUCGGGUUAUAGCUGUAUCUCGAUCAAAUAAAUUAAUUUUAUUUUAAUUAAACAAUAAAAAUAUAUAUAAAAAUAGUAAAUCUAUAACUUUUUUUUAAAAAAAUAGAACACAAUAACCAGAAAAAUACAUAUGAAAGUAUAGAGUUGGAUGUUAACUUACAUUAAUUUUUUAAAUUCAUAACUCGGAUUAUUAAACUAGAAAAACCAUACAUGAAAAAACCACGAAACACAACCCCUGACAUAUCAAAUAUUAAAGGAUAAAAUUAAUAUAUAUAUAUAUAUAUAUAUAUAUAUAUAUAUAUAUAUAUAAUGAUUAAAGAAAAUUAGCAAUUAAAAAAAUGAGGAUAGAAAUUAAAAUAAACAAAUAAAUUAGAGGGUAACAAAAAAAUUUCGAUUGAAAUGUGAAAUCAAAAGUAUAAUUUUUUUAACAAGAAGAUAAAUAAUUCUAAAAAACAAGAAUCAAAUUAAAAAAAUAAUACACCAUAAAAAUAAAAGGAGUGAAAUUAAAAACCACUGAAAGUUGCUUAAAAGGGAUAAGAAGAAAAAAUAAAAAAAAAUAAGAAUCGAUGUGAAAAAAACAACAAAUGAAAAAUUGAGAUUUAAUGAUAACUUUACAAAAGGUCCAAAGACGUAAAUGAAAAUAAAAAAAAUGGACCAAAUUAAAAGGCAAAAUAAAUUAAGAGGCAACCCUUGAAAUUUAGAGGGUUAGGUGUGAAAACUAAAAAGAAAAAACAGGAUAAAAAAACGAAAAAAGAGCUCAUGGUGCCAAACUAGAGGUUCAUUUGAGGACAUGCGCCAGUCAAAUACAAAUGGGCCAUCAAGAGGAUUCGAAUGCCGCCUUGGAAGUUUUUAUUUGGCCGUUGGGCAACAUCGUCUCAAACCACAUCAAUCCUUACGCGCCGACUGGCGCAACACGCGUCAAUUUUUUUUAAUAUUAAUUAAAUAUUAAAGUACAAAUAUGCCCCUAACCCCCACCAAUAACAAAUAAUUCACGAUUAAAAUGACCAAAGCGACCCUUGACAAAAGAUUUUUUUUUCUACCUCAAGAGCAUUCCAAUAACUUCGUGAGCCCUUUUUUUUUUUUAACACUGGUUAAAUAUUAAAGUACAAAUCUGCCAUUAACCUUACCUAUUAUUAACAGAAAAAAACAAUAUUAAAAUAACAAAAAUAACAUUGUCUACCUUUGUCAGACCAAGUUUUUAUAUUACGAGGAGCAAAACUAUAAUUUUACAGUUACAAUUCACGUUAAACCUAAGUGUAAUGCUACAAUAAAUGACACUGUUGUCCCCCCUUUCCUUUUAAUUUAUUUGUCAUGUUAUAUGAUCUUAUUUCCCAGUUCAUAUGUUGGGCCAUUUCGUACUUGGUCUCAUAUUUUUAUUUGAUCAUGUAUUUAGUCUCGGGUUAUAUUUACGUGGGCUUAGAUUCGUUAAAGUAUCAGUUGAUAUCAAACUAGAAAUGAUUGGUGAUGGAUUCGUUGCAAUUGAUGUGAUAGCUACAUUGCAUGACGCGUGGCUCAACUUGUAAAGCCCUUUUUGGAUCAAACCUGGUAGGGGCGAGCAUUGGUGGAUUCCAUAUGAUUUCGAUUAAAAAAUCCAAUCGAAUCCAUUUUUCAUUCUUUUUUAACCGAACUGAAUAAAAAAUCAAUUCGAACCAAAUGUUUCAGUUCAACUUUGUUCGGUUUUAUAUUUAAGAAAACCAAGUGAGUCCAUGUUCUUUUUAAUUGGAUUUCUCCGAGAGGCUUUGAUGUUACGAGUGUGGGCUUUUUUCGGUUUUUUAUUUUAAAAAAAUUGGAUAAGUCCAUUGACACUGGGCCAUUUGGAAAAGUUUUGAUAUUUACUUUUAAUAUUAAUACAUCUCAUUUUGUCUUGUAAUGCUGGGGGUGCUGUUUGUUUAUAUUGAUAAAUGAGUUUCUUUUAUUCGACCACGACUUGAGUUGAAGUCAUAGUCCUUAAAUUCUGUUUAGUUCGUUUUAGUAGAUUGAUUCAGUGAUCGAGUUUCUUUUUAAACUGAUUUAUAAGUUAACCCGAUUAAAUAUAGAUAAGUUUAUAAGUCGACGACCCGGACAAGUUAGCUUAAAUGGUGCAUUAUUUUACGAUAAAUCCGGGUUGACCGACAAAACCCAUGAUAAUGCUGAGGUAUGAUAACAAUGGCUGAAAACAAUGCAUAACAACAAGAUUAGCCUUUUUUUUUUAUAUACUAAGUAUAACAAGUUUAGCCCGGGCCUUAUAUUCUUGUUCGUUUUUCCCUUUCGGGGUCCUAGCACGGAGUUAAAGAAACUAGCUACCUGCCUGGUGGUGGGCUGAGCACACCGCGCAGGCAAGGGGGUGGUCAAACAGUCUUGCGGGGCUGCGUUUAAUAAGCUUACUUGCCUAACUUCCAAUUGUAAUCGCUAAUCCGCUACUACAACCGGACCAGAGAUUUUGCCAUCGUUCCAAUUGCGUUAACAUUUUGCUAUUUUCUAGAGAGUUUCGUGGAUUCAAAUUCAAUGAAGAAGUAACUGCGCUGUAAAUAGAGUUGAAUAUAAACAAGGACCACUCACCUUAACGUAGCUCAGGUUUCAAGAUUAGAUCAGGAGGGGUCUCACUGCGCACAGGAUGGGUACUCCCCUACCUCUGAAAACAGCCCCUCAGCGGCUCAACCAAUCUUUCAUGUAGGGGUUGACCAAAUUUUUUUAAGCGUUAAGAAUUGAUUUUUAAAAAUAAUUUAAUAUUUAAAAAUAUUACAAGAAUAAAUUAGAAGUUAAUUUCUCUUAUUUAUAUAUAUAUUUUUAAAAUUUAAUGUUAAAAUUAUUUUUUUUCAUAAUAGCCAUUUACUUGUUUCCUUCGAUCCUUUUAAUCUCAAUCUCACAAAAAGGAUUAAAAUUUAUAUCCAUUCUUCAAGUUGAUCAGAAGAAAAAGUCACGGCCAAGCUAAUAUGAACAACUAAUCAAUUUUGAUUAUUUUUUCGUUUUCAUUCACGUAGUUAGAGCAAGAUCAAACCUCUUCUUUCUUCUGCUCAGGACAGGCAAUCUGUGAACUAGAUCAACAAAAAAUGGUUCAUCUUCUUUCUGUGUAUCAUAAACAGGUUUGGUUUGGUUAAGUAGUUUGUUAUCUGUAUAUUAUUUUUCAAGGAAGAAAUUUCAAGGUAUUUAAAUUUACAAAUAAAUCCGGACCCAAAAUGCUGGAAAAUGGAUCUAUCGGGUCAGAUCAUGGGUCAUUAUUUUGAAAACAGCUGAACCCGACCCGACCCAUGUAUAUUGGCAACCAUAUGGAUAUUAACAUAUGCAACCCUGCUAUAAAUACAUAACGAUCUUCCUCGCCAUUCUCUUCCACUUCACAGCCGCUCCUUACUACCGUAGAACCCUCUUUCUUCCUUCCUUCCUUCUGGAAUCAAUCGUCUUUCACAACCCAAAACAUUUCCAAAUCCUCUUUUAAUGGGAUUAGUUGGCCUUUGGGCGGCGAUGCCUCUAGCCUCCUUGAGUGUUUUCUCUCUCGAAAGUAGCUACGUCCUUCUUAGAUGCUGCUUGUAAACUGUUAAAGGCCAUGCCUUUUACGAAAAUGAAAGUUUAAUUGUUCAAAGAACUGGAAGAACGAUCCGUCAACAUGGUCCCUUCAUUAAGAAGAAGGUAUCCUCUUUGUUUUUUAGCCAUGGUGUUCAAAUAUUAGGGCAAUGCUGUGAGAAGUAAGGUGGUUUUUGUUUUUGCGUACAAACUGUAUUUUUGAAUUUUUUUUAGUUUUUUUUUAAAAUUAUUUUUAAUGUGAUAAUGUUAAAAUAAAAAUUUUAAAAAUACAAAAAUUAUUAAUUUAAUAUAUUUCUAAAUAAAAAACACUCUAAAGUCUCUUUUAUUUUUUUUUAUUGUUUUUACUUUUUACCAAACCACUGUGCAGAAAAAAAGCAUGUAAAUCAGGCAAUAGCAUAGCGUUGGUGCUUAUAAGUAGUAACAGUAUUUAUAACAUCCUUAAAACCCUACUUCCACUUCAGUUUCAGUUUCACUCUUCCAGUUAAACCCAACACGGUGGCUCUCUCCACCAAAUCAAAUGCCCCUCUUUUCUCACCGCCACCCGUCCUCCUCCGCCAUCCCCACCACCAUCAAUCCCAGAACUUCAAAACCAUCAAAACCCAAUUUUAUACCUCCUUCAACCCGCUACCCUCUACCUCUUCUAGUCUUUUCACUCAUCUCCCUUCUCAUUGGACUUUCUGGCACAAUCUUCGCUAUCUCAGCGAUCCGCAGACCCAAACCUGUUCCUGUUUUUCGCUGUGGCAGAUCCGAGGACACUUUUCGAGCAUUUUAUUCGGGUUCGGGUAGAACCCGAGGUGAUGAUAACGGAGCAUUGAUUGACAGGCCUAAGCUUCUUGGGUUUGUUGGGAUUCAAACCGGGUUUGAAUCGGGUGAUCGCCGGGCUGCACUUAGAAGUACUUGGUUUCCUUCUGACCCAGAUGGACUUUUGAGGUAAAAUCAUGAUCUUUGUGUACAAAGUCGAGAACUUGAGAGAUGUUUUAUGUUUCUUUCGGGGGAGCCAAAUGGGGGCAUGAGUUAAUGGAAGGAGAGAUGAAUAUCAUGUCCUCUCUGUUGCAAUACAUUCUAGUAAGAUUGUACUUCCAUAUAAUGUUAUGUCUUGGGGAACUUGGUGGCAGUGAUGUCAUUGAUAAUCCCAGCUCUAUGAGAUCUUCAAUUUGAAGAUCCAGGAAUAGAUGUUAUCAAUUUCUGUCUGAGCCUAUUACACUGUUCUAGUAUUUCUAUCUGAGCCUAUAACAUUCUUCGAGUAAGAUAUUUCAUUAUAGUUUAGUAAUUUUGAGUCUUGAGGAACUUGGUGGCAGUGAUGUCAUUGAUAAUCCCAGCUCUAUGAGACCUUCAAUUUGAAGGUCCAGGAAUAGAUGUUAUCAAUUUCUGUCUGAGCCUAUAACACUGUUAUACUACAUUUUGUUUUAUAAUCUCAAGUCUUCAGAAACUUGUUGGCAGUGAUGUCAUUGAUAAUCCCAGCUCUAUGAGACCUUCAAUUUGAAGGUCCAGGAAUAGAUAUUAUUAGUUUCUGUCUGAGCCUAUAACACUGUUCUAGUUCAUUUUGCUUUUAUAAUCUCAAGUCUUCAGGGACUUGGUGGCAGUGAUGUCAUUGAUAAUCCCAGCUCUAUGAGACCUUCAAUUUGAAGGUCCAGGAAUAGAUGUUAUCCGUUUCUGCCAGAGCCUAUAGCAAUGCUCUAGUUCAUUUUGCUUUUAUAAUCUCAAGUCUUCAGUUACUUGGUGGCAGUGAUGUCAUUGAUAAUCCCAGCUCUAUGAGACCUUCAAUUUGAAGGUCCAAGAAUAGAUGUUAUCAUUUUCUGUCUGAGCCUAUAACACUGUUCUCGUUCAUUUUGCUUUUAUAAUCUCAAGUCUUCAGGAACAUGUUGGCAGUGAUGUCAUUGAUAAUCCCAGCUCUAUGAGACCUUCAAUUUGAAGGUCCAGGAAUAGAUGUUAUCACUUUCUGUCUGAGCCUAUAACACUGUUAUACUACAUUUUGUUUUAUAAUCUCAAGUCUUCAGAAACUUGUUGGCAGUGAUGUCAUUGAUAAUCCCAGCUCUAUGAGACCUUCAAUUUGAAGGUCCAGGAAUAGAUGUUAUCACUUUCUGUCUGAGCCUAUAACACUGUUAUACUACAUUUUGUUUUAUAAUCUCAAGUCUUCAGAAACUUGUUGGCAGUGAUGUCAUUGAUAAUCCCAGCUCUAUGAGACCUUCAAUUUGAAGGUCCAGGAAUAGAUAUUAUUAGUUUCUGUCUGAGCCUAUAACACUGUUCUAGUUCAUUUUGCUUUUAUAAUCUCAAGUCUUCAGGGACUUGGUGGCAGUGAUGUCAUUGAUAAUCCCAGCUCUAUGAGACCUUCAAUUUGAAGGUCCAGGAAUAGAUGUUAUCAUUCUCUGUCUGAGCCUAUAACACUGUUCUCGUUCAUUUUGCUUUUAUAAUCUCAAGUCUUCAGGAACUUGGUGGCAGUGAUGUCAUUGAUAAUCCCAGCUCUAUGAGACCUUCAAUUUGAAGGUCCAGGAAUAGAUGUUAUCAGUUUCUGUCUGAGCCUAUAACACUGUUCCAGUUCAUUUUGCUUUAUAAUCUCAAGUCUUGAGGAACUUGCUGGCUAUGAUGAUCAUUGAUAAUCCCAGCUCUAUGAGAUCUUCAAUUGGAAGGUCUAGGAGUAUUAUAUGUUUUCAAUUUCUGCCUGAGCCUAAUAAUAUUCUUCGAGUAAGAUAUUUUAUUAUACUUUGAUAUUUUACAGUCCUGAGGAACUUGGUGGCAGUGAUGUCAUUGAUAAUCCCAGCUCUAUGAGAUCUUCAAUUUGAAGGUCCAGGAAUAGAUGUUAUCAAUUUCUGUCUGAGCCUAUAACACUGUUCCAGUUCAUUUUGCAUUUAUAAUCUCAAGUCUUGAGGAACUUGCUGGCUAUGAUGAUCAUUGAUAAUCCCAGCUCUAUGAGAUCUUCAAUUGGAAGGUGGUCUAGGUGUACUAUAUGUUUUCAAUUUCUGCCUGAGCCUAAUAAUAUUCUUCGAGUAAGAUAUUUUAUUAUACUUUGAUAUUUUACAGUCCUGAGGAACUUGGUGGCAGUGAUGUCAUUGAUAAUCCCAGCUCUAUGAGAUCUUCAAUUUGAAGGUCCAGGAAUAGAUGUUAUCAAUUUCUGUCUGAGCCUCAAACACUGUUCUAGUUCAUUUUGCUUUUAUAACCUCAAGUCUUGAGGAACUUGCUGGCUAUGAUGAUCAUUGAUAAUCCCAGCUCUAUGAGAUCUUCAAUUGUAAGGUCUAGGAGUAUUAUAUGUUUUCAAUUUCUGCCUGAGCCUAAUAAUAUUCUUUGAGUAAGAUAUUUUAUUAUACUUUGAUAUUUUACAGUCUUGAGGAACUUGGUGGCAGUGAUGUCAUUGAUAAUCCCAGCUCCAUGAGAUCUUCAAUUUGAAGGUCUAGGAAUAGAUGUUAUCAAUUUCUGUCUGAGCCUAUAAUGUUGUUCAAGGAAGAUAUGCAAUAUUUUGUUUUUUGUUCACACAUAAUUUAGUAAUAUUUUCUCUAUCCUAGUUAGAUUCUUUUUUCUGCUGUGAAGUUUUACUUUGAAAUCAGGUUAUUUAUGGAUCCAGCAUACUAUGAUCUUAUUGAAAAGGUCAAGUUCACUGCUGCUCUAUUGUAGGUUGGAGCAAGCUACUGGUUUAGCAUUUAGGUACGUAAUAGGGCGCUCAAAGGAUGCAAAGAAAAUGGCCCAGCUUGAGAAAGAGGUGGAUAAGUACAGAGAUUUCAUGCUCAUAGAUGUCGAGGAAGAAUAUCUAAAGCUUCCAUACAAAACGUAAUAGUUCCUUUUCUGCAUUAAGGUUUCCUAAUGUGGAUUGAAUUGAUAGCUUGUGGAGUAAUACCUUUCUCCUGUUAUUAGGUUGGCCUUUUUCAAGGCAGCCUUUAAGCUUUUUGAAGCAGAUUAUUAUGUCAAAGCUGACGAUGAUAUCUAUUUGCGCCCAGGUAUACAAUAGCAAGUGUAAUGAUUUAUCAGCGAGGUAUACUGCAAUUAAUGUUGAUAUUUUUUCUUUGUUAGAUCGCCUUGCAACUCUUCUCGCUAAGGAAAGAACCCACUCACUGACUUAUAUUGGAUGCAUGAAGAAAGGACCAGUGAUCACUGAUCCUAAAAUGAAAUGGUAUCCAAUCAUCACAUAUUUUUUACUGUUGGAUUUGUCAUUAUUUUUUACAGUUCAUUGGCGUGAGUUCUUGCUAGUUGCAUGAUUUAGAUAAUUUUUCAACAAUUCAGGUAUGAGAAAUCAGGACAUCUGAUUGGAAAUGAGUACUUCCUGCAUGCUUAUGGACCUAUAUAUGUUCUUUCUGCAGAGGUUGUGGCUUCAUUAGCAUCUGCUAGAAAUAACAGGUCUGUCAUUUAUGUAGGACUUUUUUGCACUGAUUUCUUAUGUUUGUCAUCCUAUGUAUCCAGCCAGCCAACUUAAUAAUCCGCACUUCUAAUAACCUACUUUGCAUGGCUAAGUAUGGUUAUUGUUUUGAUUAAGGUUUCAGUAGACUUCAGCAUACUUUUCUUUUAUUGGUAAAUUGAUGGCUUUCCAUGUUAAUUGUUAUCUGCUAAUUGAAAAUCAGAUUCAUGACAAGUUUGAAGUUGGAUCACAAGAAAUGGAUUUUGGAAAGAGUUACAAUUUAGAACUAUAAACACCAGCAAAUUUUCAGUUUUGAUUUAGAGCCUUAAAGUUCUUUAAUCUUGCCAUUUUAAAUUUUACUCAGUGAUUAUGCCUGCCAACGGUAGCUUUUAUGUCUUCAAUGCCUCACUUCAACAUACUGUCCAACUUUAAAUGCCUGUCUUUGAGAACUUGUUUAUGAUAGGAUGAUUGACCCCCUUCUCCUUGGUGUUCUUUCUCAUCAUCCCGAUUCCUCAAUUGUCCCCAAGGCCAUUAUCUAAAUAUCUUUUUUAUCAGGAGUAGUUAGAUUUGUAGCCAUUCUGCCAAUACAGGAGAGGCUAUUUUAAAAGAGGAAACAGUAUGGCUGCUUUCACAAGCCCUCACAUUAGUUAGAUUUGUAGCUAUUCUGCCAAUACAUAGGAAAAAGUAGGUUGAAUUAAAAGAUGAUGUCCACUAAGUCUUCUGGUCUGUGUUGUCUGAACUGCAUACUGAUCUAAACUUCAUUUGGAUUCAGGGGCAAUAUUUUUCUUUCUCUAGUGCUACUGAAUUUGCUUAUUGGAGCGAGUUUUCAUUCAGAAGCCUUUUUAUUCUCUUCCUUUCUUUUGGAGUCAUUGUCAUGCUGUAGUGUUGUUUUCCUUUGGAUGUGCUCUCGCUAAGUAGAUUCAUCUUUUAGCUUUCAGUUUGAGAAUGUUCAGCAAUGAGGAUGUCUCUAUUGGAUCGUGGAUGCUUGCAAUGAAUGUUUAUCAUGAAGAUAACCGAGCCAUAUGCGAUCCCCGAUGCACUCCAACAUCUAUAGCAGUUUGGGAUAUUCCUAAAUGUUCUGGUAAUACUCUAUUCCUUGAAUUCCUAAAGACAUUUCCCUUUUCAUGCAAGCAAUUGGGCAAAUGCAUUUUCUCUUGAGGUCCCUUCUUAGCCCAUCGAAUUCUUGCUGUGGAAACACAAGAACAAUGAAUAUGGUUUCUUGAACUAGUAUAUGGGAAAAAACUUGAAGCUCGCAUGUUACAACAAAACAAUAUCAUUUCUGUAGUUGUAUGCCAUUAAGGUUUCUUUCAGGAGCCAUCAAUGCCACACCUUCUGACUGUAGUUAUUUUAUGGAAUACAAACUAAUAAAUAGACAAUGGCAGGAAUUUUUCUUAAUUAAAUGCAGUACCAAAAUAUGGUGAACUCUUGUAUUAUUUUCUGUUGUUUGCUAAAACCUUAAUUAAUGGAUAAAUGAACAAUAUCAGGUUUAUGCAAUCCGGCUAGUCGGAUGAAGGAGCUUCACAAGAUUGAUAUGUGCUCCAAAAGUCCAACACUGCCCCCUGAUGAUAGAUAGUGUCCAAUCAGCCAGAACUUAUGCUUGCAUAACACUGACGUAGCAAUGUAGGCUGUUUUUGAUCUGAGUGCUGGGUUUCUGCAGGACAAGUAUCUUUCCCCAAAGAGCAAUAGGGGCUUUUGUAUUCUGCCAUUCUAUUCUCCAUGUGUAGACUGUAUAGCCAUGCAAUGCAUUAUCUUCAAGUUGCUAGAUAAGUUAAUAGCACUAUUAAAGGAAUGCUUGAUUCUUAAAACACCGAAAAUCACGAGAAUAAGCAAGUGUCGUUAGACAUGUAGAAUACCAGCACCAUGUGAUUAUGGUCACUAGGGUCAGGAGACUGAUUUUGAGUUUGUUCAAGGAUUCAAGCGAGGAUAUCUGCCUGUACUAGUGAUCUGAUCACUGUUUUUGGGCAUGCCCAUAUGACUAGGAGUAUGGUGUAUAAUUUGUAUGUACUUGAAAUUGUUAUAUCUCCACGGAAAUGAAAUCAUACUGUUCUCUUUAAUUUGUGCUCUCUCUUUGUUCAUUUAACGCUUGUCACGUCCUUGGCUGCCUGUGAUGAACUUGUGUAAGAAUCACAUGGAAUAAGUUUCAUGUUGCUUGGCCAUCAUUUCCUGGUAGCUUGUCCAGUUUGUGUUUUGCUGAGGAAGGCAAAGGAGGGCUAUGCUAGUUAGGGUUUCAUCUACUGCAUCACUGGAUUCUUCACGAGUUAAAUUCAACGUGUGCUUCUCUUUUAAGGAUCCUUGCGGUCUUAACAUCUAAAACAAGUGGCGUUUUAGCUAUAAUAACAAUAACUGGAAUGGCUGACCAAUUUGAAUAUCCACAACUCUUUUUUUUUUCCUCGAUAAAACUUGAGUGGACAAAAAUAGAAAUAUUUAUAUUACUAACAAUCAAAUAAAUGAUUUCAACAUAAAAUAAGUUUUAACGAAAUGACAUGCCCGCGCGUUGCUGUGGACUUAUAAAACAAAUGUCAUUGAUAGUGUUAUAAUUGUGAACCAGUGCUAGAUAAGUAAUAGAAAUUAAAGGUAUGAUGGAGCAAAUAUUUCAUGACGGAAAAAAAAAAAGUGUGUUGGUGGUCAAAAACUUACAGAUUGAACAAAAUGAUUUGUAGCAAUCUACAGUGUUUUGUGAGGAAAGAUACAGUACUUUCGCCACAUGAUUUAGCUUUUCAGUUAAUAAAGAGCAAAAAAAAUUACAAAGCUAAAUUCUCUACCAACUUAAUAUUAAAAAAAAAAUCAAUAAAGAUAAUUUUGGAAGGAAAAAAACCCAUGAGAAAAAACGUUACAGCAAUUUACAAUGUUUUGUGAGGAAAACUAUAGCGCUUUUCCCAAUAAAAUAAACUAAAAAACCAUUUAGAGAAAUAUUGUAGCAAUUCACAGUGUUUUGUGAGAAAAACUACAACGCUUUCCUCAUAUGAUUUAGCUUUAUUGUAAUUAUAAUUCUUAACCAACUUAAUAUUAAAAAAAAAAAUCGACAAAGAUAAUUUUGGAAAAAAUCAUAAAAAAAUCACAUGGGAAAACACUGCAACAAUUCACAGUGUUUUAAAGAAAAAAAAACAAAAGCUAAAUUCUUAAUCAGCUCAAUAUUAAAAAAAAAUCGACAUAGACAAUUUUAGAAAAAAAAAACAGCAAAAAAAAAAAAAAAAAAAAAUCAUGUUGGAAACACUGUAGCAAUUCACAGUGUUUUGUGAUGAAAGCUACAAUACUUCCCCACAUGAUUUAGUCUUAUUUGUAAUGACUUGUAAUUGUAAUUCACAAACAACUCAAUAUUAAAAAAAUAAAAUUGAAAAAGAUAAUUUGAAAAAAAUUAUAACAAAAAAAACCAUGCAGAGAGACACUGUAGCAAUCCACAAUGUUUUAUGAGCAAAGCUACAAUGCUUUCCCCACAUGAUUAAGCUUUAUUACAAAGUUAAAUUCUAACCAACUCAAUAUUAAAAAAAAUAAAAUCGGCGAAGAUAAUUUUGGAAAAAAAUAUCAUAAAAAAAGAAAACACAAAAGAAACUGGAAAAAAACCAAGUGAGGAAAAACUGUAUCAAUCCAUAGUGUUUAGUGAGGAAAAACUUGUAUUUACUUGGAAUUGCAAUUCUUAACCAACUUAAUAUUUUAAAAAUAAAAUUGACAAAGAUAAUUUUAGGAAAAAACAUAACAAAAACAGAAAAAAACCAUGUGGGAAAAAACACUGUAGCAAUCAACAGUAAUUUUCGAGGAAAGUUACAGUGCUUUCCUCACAUAUUGUAACUGUAAUUUUUAACCAGCUCAAUAUUAAAAAAUAAAAUAAAAAAAGAUAAUUUCGGAGAAAAUCAUAAAAAAAACCAUGCGGAGAAACACUGUAGCAAUCAACAAUGUUUAAAGAAAAAAAACUACAAAACUAAAUUCUCAAUCAACUCAAUAUUAAAAAAAAAUCGACAGAUAUAAUUUUGAAAAAUAAAGAAAUAAAAUAGAAAAACUAUGUGAAAAAACAUCGCAGCAAUCCACAGUAUUUUAAAAAACAAAUUACAAAGCAAAAAUUUUAACCAGGUCAAUAUUUAAAAAGUAAAAUCAACAAAAAUAAUUUUAGAAAAAAAUAAAUGAAAAAAAAAGUAAUUUUGAAAAAAAAAGAAAAAAAAAAGAAGAGAAAAGUUAGAAAAAAAAGAAGAAAAAGAA